UUAGUUAACCUUGAAUAUAUGAAAUAGUUGGUUCAUUGUUAAAUGUUCUUAGCCAGUCCCUUAGGUGAAGGAUGUAGAUUAUUUCGAUCUUUAUAUUAUCUUUAUAUCGAUCUUUAUAUUAAUGGGGUUUUUGGUUUUACAUAACCAAACAUUUUUGAAGUCCUCAAAUUAAUAUUGUAAAUAAUUACCAUUUCUCUGUACGUUUUAAACCGAUUGAACAUCCAAUAUAUCUAUAAAUUUUCAUGUCCAAUAUAUCUAUAAAUUGUCAUGUAACUAUCUUUGUCUGGUUCAAUACCAUUUCAUUAAGGUAUAUAAAAUGUAUGUAGAUGGCUAUUACUAUCUUAAUCUCAUGUUAUUUCAGAUAAGUCAUAUUUUAUAUUCCUAUUUCAAAUGCAAUGCCAUUAUUUGUUCAUGUUUUCAAACUCAAAAUAGUUCAAGGUUACCUGAGAUUAGUUUUUGUUCCAUUUUUAAUGGUUAUUUUUUUUAUGUUAUUGCUUCUAAAAAGUUUUCCUCGAUUAUUUCUUCUUCUCUUUACUUUUGUUACCGGUUUAUAUGAGAAAUCAAACGAAGUAUAUGUUUUUAGCCAUUUGGAAGAAAACUAACCCUCAUGUGAUGUCGUACCCACCUUGACUACCUAGGGAAGCCACCUUGACCUUAUUGCAGCUACCGCCAAGUCAAACUGGGAGUAUGUUUUGGGAACAAGCUUUUUGGGGGACAUUCCAGCUCCUUUUCGUCCUGCCACCUGGGCCUACGGGGGGCAUGGAGGUGCAUCAUAGUGAUGCUCAUUUUCUAGGAUGCAACCGCAACCUCGUUUGGGAACAUUUAGUGAGGAGUUUUAGUAACUAUUGGUUUUUUUUAUAUUUCAGACUAUCUGUUAAAUACACUAUGUUUUUUUUUCAGAUUUAGGUUACCUCUGGUUUUUUUGACAUAUUUGUAUAUUAGAUUAUUUGGUUCCCAAACUUUGUAUCUACGGUACUUCUUGUGCACAGGAAUAAGCCUAGAGAAAAUUAGGUUUUUAAUACUUUAUUAUUGCUUUGAUAUUGGUUUAUGUAAUUCGGGUAAAUUUAUUUUGUAACAUUACUUGCUUGUUUCCCAAAUAUUGUAUUUAUUCGCUUUAUUUCGUUUGUUCGGUUACUUCGUCGUUACUUUAUUUCAUUGCAUUUGCUCGGUUAAUUUAGGUCAUUUUGUCGGUAUUUUUCUUAACUUCACUUCUAUAACGUUUAUUCAUUUGUAUAUUUAAUUUUGCUUUAUUCAGUAUUGUAUUUUCUCUUAGUGAGGCUUGGGCCUAUUUAUUUGUAUUAUUUUCAUCUUCGUCGGUUUCCUUUAGUUGUACGUAGCAGGCGUACUAUAACCAUUUGGUAGAAGACUUAUGUAAUUUUGUACCCUAUAUGUUAGUAAGAGGUACUUAUAUUUAAGUUUGUAACAGAUAACAUUAUUGUUGUUAUCUUUAAAAUAUAUAUAUCUUCUUGUAUAACUUAUGUCAUUUUAGAGUCACAGCAUAAUAUGAACUUGCUUAACUCAGAGAUUGUUAAAAAUCUGGUAGUUAUUUUUAAUAAAUAUGUUUAUUUAUUUUGUAUAUCAUUUAUUUUUAUUAUUCCUUUAUGUUCAUUAUUACAGGUUUGAUAUAUUUAAUAUCUGACAGCAGUAUAAGAUACCUGGGAGAAUGAUAGAAGAUCAUUUUCAUGGCGCCCAUGAUUUGUUAGAUUUAUUUAUCUUGUUCGUCUUUAGAAAUUAUUCAUCUUCAUUCCUCUUCAGUACAUUAUUCUUAUUUUAUUAUUUCAUAUUUUAGUCAUUAUUACUAUCUACAUAGAGCUACUGUUCUUCGACAGGCAUGCAAACGAGCCGUAUCCAUCCUUGAGUGUCAAGUUGCUCUCUUGCAUCUAUAGCUAGCCAACUCUAUUCAGUUUGCCUCUGUCUCUUCCCACGUCUACUUAUUAUCCCUUCUAAUUCCCCUUUCUUCAGUACUACUGCAAAGUAGUAUUUUUUAUUUUUCCUACUUUGGCUCAACCGCUGAAGCCCCUUCAUUUUUAUUUUCAUAAGAGGCCCCAACUAGUUACCUUAGUCUUUUCUUUUCUUCUUUUUUUUCCUUACUUCUGUUGGAGUAUAUCUUUCUUUUUACUUUCACUCCAACAGAAGUUUUCUUAUUUUUGUUACACUGGCGCCCAACGUGGGGCCAACCGUUUAUGGUUUUAAGACAGUAGUUCUUUUAGUUCAUUUUUAUUUUAUUGGAAUUUUCUGUUUUAUUAACUUUUGAUAUCUUUGUAUACAUGUUAUUUCUGAUUUAUUUUUGGUCUUUUUAUUUUUAUUAAUACUAAACAGGUAGACUUAUACUGCUUUUGGUUUUGAUUAGUUUAUUUUCGAUACCUCAUUUUUAGAAUUAGUGGUACAACUCAUAUCUUAGUUUGGAUUUUGUAUUUUUAUUGGAAACUUAUUUAUGUAUUUAAACUGAGUAUACAUAUCUGACAUUAUGUUCUAUUAGUAUAAAUUUUUAUUCCUUCUACCAAUGGUAGUAUGUUUGCACGUACAAUUAAUCGGUGACUAGAUGCAUAUAUUUUUUUUUUCUAGUGUGGUUAUAUUUUACACCUAACUAGAAAUUAUUUUCAGUAUUUAGGUAUUUUAUUUAAUUUAUUGAUUUGAUUAUUUAUAUAUUUUGCUGGCAUUUUGAUUUGUUGGUGUGUCGCUAAUAUUUUCUCCAUAUGUAUCUUUGUCUUAAACAAACUUUAGAUUAUAUUUUAUAUUUGUUAUUUUUGAUAUUUGGGUUGUUUGGUAAGACAGGCACACACCACAAAGCAAUAUCGGUCCACAACAUUAGCUUCUAUACAUGAUACGUUGAAUUCGCAUGGUUCGGAUGAUUAUAGAUCCAAUUUUUUUUCAUCCCAUUUUUUUUCUUUAAUUGGUAGUGUUAAGAUAAUCAUUAUUGUAUAGUAAAGUAGUUCCAUUAUCCAUCUCAUCUUCUAGUUUGUUAAUGUUGAUAAUAAUAUUAUAUCAAGGUGGGUACCAUAAUAUAAUGCUUAUAUAAAUCAGAUGCUUUGGGUUGAGAUUUAAAUAUAAAUUUUUGUUAGCUAAGAAGCAUUGAUAAUAGUCCUUAUUUGUCUAUUAAGUUUUAGAACAAUACUCAGAAGAAGAUUGACUUAACAGUGGUUGAGCCAAUCUCUUCUUUGGUUUGCCUUUAGCUCAAUUUUUAUUGUUAUAUUUUAAUCUAAUGUUUUUAAUCAUCAGGUAGUGCAGGUACCUUCAUUACUCGAUUUCAUUUUUGGCUUUGUUGUCGAUGACUUUUAAUUUAUUAUUUAUUAAUUUAAUUAUUAUGUAGUACUCUGGUUUAUGAGCUUAUCAUUUUGUUGCAUUAUUAAUGGUGCAUUUUCCAAUAUGUAAGCUCAGACAAGUACGUUGGUUUAAUAUUGAUAUUUUGUAUGGAACUAUGGAACUUAUCAUAAUGUACACUACUAUAUCUCAGUUUAUGUGUUAUAUUUUGAAUAUUUGAUUACUUACUAUUUUUUUUAUAUUAUUUCUAUAUCUUGUUCUUGGAUUUGCCAUAUUGGAAAGAUGUGGUUUUUAAUUUGUUAUUGGGUUACUCUAUUAACAUUAUUUGUCUCCAAUAUCUUAAACACUUUAUAAUAAUUUAUAUCCUUCUAUCCUACACAGUAUGAUUCUGGAAUUAGUUUGGAAUUUUGAUGUAAGUAUGUAUGAAUUCUUGAGUCUUUCAUAUUUCUUCUUAGAAACUACUUAGUCUGUUGAUGCUCAAAGUUGGUGAAUACGUGGGUUCGAAAUUCAGCAACUGAUCACUGCUGUCCGGUUUCGUAAUCUAUGUCCUCAUGGCAGAGUAGGCAGAUGUCUUUUCAUCAUUACAUUUCCUAAACAUUUUUCUGUAAUCAAUUUACUUAUUUCAGUUUUUUUACAAUUUAAUAGGGAAGUAUUUAGUUCAUAUUAGGCCUUUUGCUUCAUAGUAUGUUUGUACUUUGAGUUGAUGAGUAAACAUGGAUAAAUAUCUUGCGCACUUGUUUAUAAAUCAAUGCUUAGGCCAUCCCUAUACAUAGUAGGUUCGUUAAGUCAGUAUUUGGAGUGUUUAGACAGAUGAGUUGUUCAUUUGAGUAUAUUCCCACUUCUUUCCUUAAGCAUUAGUUUUGCUAUUCAGAUUCUGGAAUAUUUCCUGAAUAAUUCUAUGUACGUAUGUGAGAACGCAUGAAUUUGCAGUUUUAUUUAAAAUUGUGCUCGUUCUCGUCAAUCUUUUUUCCCUAUCACUUAUCAUAUUUCUUUUUUUUUUUCUUCCUAUUAUUUAUCAUAGUGCCAUAGACCUUGUAAGUUCACUAUUCAUUCUGUUUUCUUUCUUACUUAUUCUUAUACUAGUACCUUAUCUGUGUCUGGUUAUUCUCAUACAUCUGUUGUAGCAACAUGCUAUAGUUCGCGAAUACCAGCAUGAAUUAAGUUAUGUAUUUUCUAGAAUACUUUAGUCAAUACACUUUAGGUAUUUAUCUUACCUUUGAUUUAGUUUGGUUACAUCUCUGUUACUUAGUCUGUUAGUAAUUUUUUUCUGACUUAUUUUGGAUUACUUAGUUCAGAUAGGUUCAUAUUACCGGAUGAGGGUGUAUGUAGACCUAAUUUAUUUAUUUUGUUCAGUAUUAGUUACCAUUGGAUCCAAUAAUUUAGUUUAUUUAGUAUUAGUAAGAAUUGGUCCAUAAAUUUGCCUGAUCGUUCUUCUUUGGAUAUACUCCUAUAUAAAUCUGGUGUCCAUUGAUAGUCCGAUUCUGGAUAAGUGUCCGAUUCUUCAUUUAUUUUGUGUAUUUAGUUGGAUAGGUUCGUAUUACCGGAUGUGGGUGUACGUAGACCUGAUCUGUUAUGUGGUUUAGUAUUGGUGUGAAUUGGUCCAUAAAUUUGCCUGGUCGUUCUUCUUUGGAUAUGCCUUUUAUGAAUCUGGUGUCCACUGAUAGUUCGACUUUGGAUUAAGUGUCCGAUUCCACAUUUAUUUUGGUUAUUGAGUUUUGGAUUCCUUUGGUAUGUUUAUUAUUGGUAUUAUUUGACAUUAGUGAGAAUUGUUCCAUAAAUCUUCCUGAUUGUUCUUCUCUGGAUAUACUAUUAUGAAUCUGGUGUCCAUUGUUAGUUCAGUUUUGGAUAAAGUGUUCAAUUCUUUACCUAUUUUAGUUACUGAUUUUUUUUAUUCACUUUGGUACAUUUACUUUUGAUAUGGUUCGAAUUGGCUCACACCUUUUCCUGGUUGUUCCGUUCUUGGAUAUACCCUUUAUAAAUCUGAUGUCCAUGGAUAGUUCAAUUUUGGUUUUAGUGCCCAAUUCGACACUCAGUUAUUAUUAUGAACUUAAGUACAAUAUUUAGUUUUGUUUUGACUUUUGAGCAAUAUAUGUUAAUAUUUGGUAGCAGAGAGUAACAUAGUAACAUUUUAGUAUGAGUUUGAGUCAUGUAUUGAUUUAUUUUUCCUUGACCAUUAGUUUAUAUUUAGAAGUAAUCUUGCGAAUCAACGUGGAUUGUUAGACUAUUGUAAAUUUAGUUGUUAAUAUUUUGAAGUUUAAAAAAAAAAUUUUUUUUUGGUUAAAAAAUUUUUUUUCCCCGAGUAGGAGGGGAUUGUAACGGUCCACCCGUUAUAUUAUCAUUUUUAGCGCUGUAAUUAUUUUUAAAAAAAUAAUUAUUUUCUCUUGACCUCCCAUUUAAAUUCUUUAAUUUAUCGUAAAGGACUUCUCAUGUGACGUCACACUGUACGGAACAUAGUUGUUGAACCGUUCCUUGUCGUUUAAUUCGUGUUCCGUGAGAGUUUGACGUUUUCCUCGCUGACUGUGGGAGGAAUGAGAGGCACUUGGCCGGUGGCUGCGAGGUUGACAGGUUGGUGUUGGUGGUUAGUACCGUAAAUGGCGGUUAAUUUCUUCGAAAUUAAUUUUUAUUUCAACUAAGUUUGGAAGUAUAGUAAAAAGUUACCACCACUUGUUUCCUGGAGUACGGGUUUCCUGGAGUAAGGAUGGGAGUACCAUCAGUGGAAGAGGAAUAAAAAAUUAACCGCCAUUUGGAAGAAAACUAACCCUCAUGUGAUGUCGUACCCACCUUGACUACCUAGGGAAGCCACCUUGACCUUAUUGCAGCUACCGCCAAGUCAAACUGGGAGUAUGUUUUGGGAACAAGCUUUUUGGGGGACAUUCCAGCUCCUUUUCGUCCUGCCACCUGGGCCUACGGGGGGCAUGGAGGUGCAUCAUAGUGAUGCUCAUUUUCUAGGAUGCAACCGCAACCUCGUUUGGGAACAUUUAGUGAGGAGUUUUA
rnacentral:lncRNA from 1 species